rnacentral:rRNA from 1 species
UACGUAGGGUGCGAGCGUUAAUCGGAAUUACUGGGCGUAAAGGGUGCGCAGGCGGCGUCGCAAGUCAGGCGUGAAAUCCCCCGGCUUAACCUGGGAACUGCGUCUGAUACUGGAGGGCUUGAGUGCGGGAGAGGGAUGUGGAAUUCCAGGUGUAGCGGUGAAAUGCGUAGAUAUCUGGAGGAACACCGGUGGCGAAGGCGGCAUCCUGGACCGACACUGACGCUGAGGCGCGAAAGCUAGGGUAGCAAACGGG